rnacentral:misc_RNA from 1 species
GAUGAAGAACGCAGCGAAAUGCGAUAAGUAAUGUGAAUUGCAGAAUUCAGUGAAUCAUCGAAUCUUUGAACGCACCUUGCGCCUUUUGGUAUUCCGAAAGGCACACCUGUUUGAGCGUCAUGAAUACCUCAAUCUCCAUCUUUUCUUCGGAUUGAUGGGUGACUUGGAUGUUGAGCCCUGCUGGUAUGCUAUAUCAGCUGGCUUUAAACUCAUUAGCCGGCUCUGUACUGGAUCGGUUUGACUCGACGUGAUAAUAUUAUCGUUGAGGAUGCAUGUCUCAUGCAGCCGGAAAGUAUCAAAGCAGCUUCUAGCUUGCCUUUAGUGCACUUUUACAUUUUAGACCUCAGAUCAGGUGGGACUACCCGCUGAACUUAAGCAUAUCAAUAAGCGGAGGA